AGGGUUAUAGCUCAGUGGCAGAACAGCUUUUUUUUUUUGCAUGCAGAAAGUCCCAGGUUCAAAUCCUGAUGACUCCA